rnacentral:rRNA from 1 species
CCUACGGGUGGCAGCAGUAGGGAAUAUUGCGCAAUGGGGGCAACCCUGACGCAGCAACGCCGCGUGAGUGAGGAAGGUCUUCGGAUUGUAAAACUCUGUUCUUAGGGAAAAAUGUUCUUGUGGCUAAUAUCCACGAGGAGUGAUGGUACCUAAGUAGAAAGCACCGGCUAACUUCGUGCCAGCAGCCGCGGUAAUACGAAGGGUGCAAGCGUUGUUCGGAAUCAUUGGGCGUAAAGCGCGCGCAGGCGGAUUCGCAAGUCAGAUGUGAAAUCUCGGGGCUCAACCUCGAAACUGCGUCUGAAACUGCAAGUCUAGAAUGUCGGAGGGGGCAGGGGAAUUUCACGUGUAGGGGUAAAAUCCGUAGAGAUGUGAAGGAACACCGGAGGCGAAGGCGCCUGCCUGGACGACUAUUGACGCUGAGGCGCGAAAGCGUGGGGAGCAAACAGGAUUAGAUACCCGGGUAGUC